AUUGAACGCUGGCGGCAUGCCUUACACAUGCAAGUCGAACGGUAACAGGCCUUCGGAUGCUGACGAGUGGCGAACGGGUGAGUAAUACAUCGGAACGUGCCUAGUAGUGGGGGAUAACUACUCGAAAGAGUGGCUAAUACCGCAUGAGAUCUACGGAUGAAAGCAGGGGAUCGCAAGACCUUGUGCUACUAGAGCGGCCGAUGGCAGAUUAGGUAGUUGGUGGGAUAAAAGCUUACCAAGCCGACGAUCUGUAGCUGGUCUGAGAGGACGAUCAGCCACACUGGGACUGAGACACGGCCCAGACUCCUACGGGAGGCAGCAGUGGGGAAUUUUGGACAAUGGGCGCAAGCCUGAUCCAGCAAUGCCGCGUGCAGGAUGAAGGCCUUCGGGUUGUAAACUGCCUUUGUACGGAACGAAAAGCCCUGGGUUAAUACCCUGGGGUCAUGACGGUACCGUAAGAAUAAGCACCGGCUAACUACGUGCCAGCCGCCGCCGUAAUAC
rnacentral:rRNA from 1 species